rnacentral:misc_RNA from 1 species
UACGGAGGGUGCAAACGUUGCUCGGAAUCAUUGGGCGUAAAGCGUGUGUAGGCGGCCUGGUUAGUCGGACGUGAAAGCCCUCGGCUCAACCGAGGAAGUGCAUCCGAAACGGCCAGGCUUGAGUGCCGGAAGGGGCGACGGAAUUCCCGGUGUAGUGGUGAAAUACGUAGAUAUCGGGAGGAACACCGGUGGCGAAGGCGGUCGCCUGGACGGACACUGACGCUGAGUACACGAAAGCGUGGGGAGCAAACAGG